rnacentral:lncRNA from 1 species
CUGAGCGGGAGGAGACGAAGGGACGGUGGACCGGGCGCCAUCCGCGCACCGGGCAGGCGCGGAGACCCGCGUGGGACAGACACCUGGAGCGCAGCUGCCAGGUAUGAACAGUAAUGGAACAUAUUUUGGUUAUGAGUCACCUGGUGGACAGUGGAUUGAAUGAACCGUAUCCAUCCCCAUCAUGAUGUACAACACCAAGUCUCCUCACUACACUUGUGUUCUGAUUAGCAGCCAAAUAAAUGACAGUCAGAACUUCAGCUAAGGUACAAUAAGCUUUUGCAGUGGCGUGGCACCUGGUCUCUUUCUACAAGGAAAGUUCAACACACAGGACAGUUCUCGACACAUUGGAUUGGUUUGAUGAUCCCACCUGCAAUAGGUAUGUAAAACCUCCAAUACACAUUUAUUGACACUUGAAUCAUAACCAUGGAUGUAUAUUUGU